rnacentral:rRNA from 1 species
GACGAACGCUGGCGGCGUGCUUAACACAUGCGAGUCGAGCGGUAAGGCCCUUUCGGGGGUACACGAGCGGCGAACGGGUGAGUAACACGUGGGUGACCUGCCCUCAGCUCUGGGAUAAGCCUGGGAAACCGGGUCUAAUACUGGAUAUGACUCCAUGACGCAUGUUGUGGGGUGGAAAGCCUUGUGCGGCUGAGGAUGGGCCCGUGGCCUAUCAGCUUGUUGGUGGGGUGGAUGGCCUACCAAGGCGA